CACAGGUGGUCGGGUAGAGAAUACCAAGGCGCUUGAGAGAACUCGGGUGAAGGAACUAGGCAAAAUGGUACCGUAACUUCGGGAGAAGGUACGCUCUUGAUGGUGAAGUCCCUCGCGGAUGGAGCUGACGAGAGUCGCAGAUACCAGGUGGCUGCAACUGUUUAUUAAAAACACAGCACUGUGCAAAAUCGCAAGAUGACGUAUACGGUGUGACGCCUGCCCGGUGCCGGAAGGUUAAUUGAUGGGGUUAGCGCAAGCGAAGCUCUUGAUCGAAGCCCCGGUAAACGGCGGCCGUAACUAUAACGGUCCUAAGGUAGCGAAAUUCCUUGUCGGGUAAGUUCCGACCUGCACGAAUGGCGUAAUGAUGGCCACGCUGUCUCCACCCGAGACUCAGUGAAAUUGAAAUCGCUGUGAAGAUGCAGUGUACCCGCGGCUAGACGGAAAGACCCCGUGAACCUUUACUACAGCUUGGCACUGAACAUUGAACCUACAUGUGUAGGAUAGGUGGGAGGCUAUGAAGACGUGACGCCAGUUGCGUUGGAGCCGUCCUUGAAAUACCACCCUUGUAUGUUUGAUGUUCUAACUUAGACCCGUUAUCCGGGUUGAGGACAGUGCCUGGUGGGUAGUUUGACUGGGGCGGUCUCCUCCCAAAGAGUAACGGAGGAGCACGAAGGUGGGCUAAUCACGGUUGGACAUCGUGAGGUUAGUGCAAUGGCAUAAGCCCGCUUAACUGCGAGAAUGACGGUUCGAGCAGGUGCGAAAGCAGGUCAUAGUGAUCCGGUGGUUCUGUAUGGAAGGGCCAUCGCUCAACGGAUAAAAGGUACUCCGGGGAUAACAGGCUGAUACCGCCCAAGAGUUCAUAUCGACGGCGGUGUUUGGCACCUCGAUGUCGGCUCAUCACAUCCUGGGGCUGAAGUCGGUCCCAAGGGUAUGGCUGUUCGCCAUUUAAAGUGGUACGCGAGCUGGGUUUAGAACGUCGUGAGACAGUUCGGUCCCUAUCUGCCGUGGGCGUUGGAAGAUUGAAGGGGGCUGCUCCUAGUACGAGAGGACCGGAGUGGACGAACCUCUGGUGUUCGGGUUGUGUCGCCAGACGCAUUGCCCGGUAGCUAAGUUCGGAAUUGAUAAGCGCUGAAAGCAUCUAAGCGCGAAGCGAGCCCUGAGAUGAGUCUUCCCUGAUACUUUAAGUAUCCUAAAGGGUUGUUCGAGACUAGAACGUUGAUAGGCAGGGUGUGUAAGCGUUGUGAGGCGUUGAGCUAACCUGUACUAAUUGCCCGUGAGGCUUAACCAUACAACACCCAAG
rnacentral:rRNA from 1 species